rnacentral:rRNA from 1 species
GACGAACGCUGGCGGCGUGCCUAAUACAUGCAGGUCGAACGCUGAAGGAGGAGCUUGCUUCUCUGGAUGAGUUGCGAACGGGUGAGUAACGCGUAGGUAACCUGCCUGUUAGCGGGGGAUAACUAUUGGAAACGAUAGCUAAUACCGCAUAACAGUAGAUAUCGCAUGAUAUCUACUUGAAAGGUGCAAUUGCAUCACUACCAGAUGGACCUGCGUUGUAUUAGUUAGUUGGUGAGGUAACGGCUCACCAAGGCGACGAUACAUAGCCGGCCUGAGAGGGGGGUCGGGCACACUGGGAAUGAGACAAGGGCCAGACUCCUACGGGGGGCAGCAGUAGGGGAUCUUCGGCAAUGGACGGAAGGCUGACCGGGCCACGCCGCGUGGGUGGAGAAGGUUUUCGGAUCGUAAAGCUCUGUUGUAAGGGAAGAAAGAGUGUGAGAGUGGAAAGUUCACGCUGUGACGGUAUCUUACCAGAAAGGGACGGCUAACUACGUG